rnacentral:lncRNA from 1 species
GGGAGCUCAGGAGGAGGGGAGGCUUGCCCUUUGUCUACCCCUGGUGUGACUUUCCUUGUAAGCCAGUGUAAGCCUGUCUCCCUCGACCCACACAAGACAUGCUCACAUAACCAUUAUCUCAGAUACAGGGGAGGAAGGCCCCAAAGAUGAUAUGACUCACACGGGAUCCCCUAGGCAGCCCUCAGUGAUGCCAGCUCACUGGGGCAGGGCCACUAAAGGAGCAAGUAACCCCACCCUUGUCCUUAGAGAACCAGGGCUGUCAACAUAUAGAGGAGUGAAGCCAAAGCCCUGAACGGAGUCAGAGGGUCCUUGACAAACUCAGGAGUUGUAGAGUUAGAAAUGGGUCAAAAGUAAUGUGAGGUUUUGGGGCUGGGGGCUGGUGGGUCAGGUAGGCGUCCAUUCCUCCUGGGAAACUCACCCUCUGCUCUCUGCUGUCAUCCUUCUCAGACACAGGGUACCAGCCACCUUCAUUCAAGGUCCAGGAGGCUCUGCUGCUUAGCUUUACCGGCCUGCUCAGUGUCCUGGGUGUGCUGGGCACGGCGCUGCUGUUCUGGAAGAAGAAACAGAUAGCGGUUCUGGGCAAGCACACUGCUAAGACAUGCCCUAGUCCCAAACCCACCAUCGGAACCACAAAGCCUCCAGCAGAAUCCAUCUACACGGUGAGUCCCGGGUCCUUCUACCUCUCUCAGACUUGACCCAGGGCCUGACUGGCUGUAGGGUAUUUCAGUGCCUCAAAUUCCUAAUCUGCAAAAUGGACAUGGUGAUUCUACAGAUUAGAUAUCUGUCUGUCUCUGUCUCUGUCUCUGUCUCUGUCUCUGUCUCUCUGUCUCUGUCUCUCUGUCUCUGUCUCUCUGUUUCUCUCUCUGUCUCUCUCUGUCUCUGUCCUUCUCUGUCUCUCUCUGUCUCUCUCUGUCUCUCUCUGU